UUUUUGGUGACGGUGAUAAUGAAAAUGACGACGAUUCCUUUGGCUGCGGCGGAGGGGAGAGAUGGGUACGCAUUAGCGAAGAGGGAGGGAGGGGAGGCGACGGUAUAUGAAAAAAAAUGAGUAAGAGAGAAUUAAUGAAUUAAUUAGAAAUAAAAAUAAUUUGGUGAAGAAAAAGUUUGUUGGUAGGAAAGUUAAAAUUAAUUAAAAGUUUGUCGAAGGAAAAGAAGAGGAUCAAAUGCUGAUGAAGGUGAAGAAUAAUUUGCCAUUAAAAGUUUAGUAAUGAUAACGUUUAGAUAUAUUAAUUAAAAAUAUUAAUUGAAAAUACCAGGGAUUAACAUAAGUUAAUAGAUUAAUGGAUAGUAUUAUUUGAUUAGAUU
rnacentral:lncRNA from 1 species